UCUCUUACCUUAAAAUAGAGGGAGAAAAGCAUGUCAUGCACUUUCUCCCUCAAUAACUAAGACCUUGAGUGGAUGCAAGGCCGUUUCCAGGCUAAACUACUAGGAAUCGAGUGGCUUUAGAUGAUUUAGCCCAAUAAGGACCAAGUCGCACUAGUUUGGACACAAAUAUAUAUUAAGACCAUGAACCACCAAGAUCAUGGCUAAUAUAGUAUGGUAGCAACUAGACCAGAAAAUUUGGUCC
rnacentral:lncRNA from 1 species